CCUCCUCCCGCUCCUCUCCCCCUGGAGUGAAGACUGCCGCCGUGUCCUGUCCGCUGUUUGCUGCAUGCCAUGGGUGUCUCGCUCCAGGACCUUGCUUCAGAUGUGAAGUCACUGAAAAUUCUCUUAAGAGAUUAAGUGCCUACUUAGAAAACCUCCAGAAACCAGGCUUCAAGUCUUUGAAACCAACCCAACUUAUGUUUUUUGUAAGAGAAACAGACCAGAACUCUUCUGAUGGCCAGGAACACUUCAGCACUUCUGUUUAUCUAUUGAACAUAUCCAAAGCUUGAAUACUAAUGUGCACUCCCAGCCUCUCAAAGAGGCCACAAGGAUAUCUGACAGGCCCAUCAAAUGGGACAAGUCUUACUACUCCUUUACUGGAUUCAAGGACCCCGAUGAAGACCUCGAGCAAGUCUGGAGAAUGGAAACAACCCUAACCUUUUUGAAAGAUUACCGAGUUAUUUUGACCGGCAGAGGAGGCUGAUACUUCUGGAGGACCAAAUAAGCUAUCUUCUAGGUGGCAUCCAAGUUGUUUAUAUCGAAGAAUUACAGCCAGUGUUGACACUUGAAGAAUAUUACUCUCUUCUCGACGUGUUCUAUAAUAGACUCUUGAAAAGUCGAAUACCUUUUCACCCUCGAAGUUUGCGUGGUUUGCAAAUGAUCCU